ensembl:lncRNA
CAAAAAACGGAAAUUAGAAAUACCAGUUCACCCACGGGAUGUUUUUUUUUUGUCUCCACUUGGUCCGUUUUUGUGGUGCUCGUCAUUUAUCAUGUCCUACUGAACUGGAAAAGGUGUGAGUGGUUGCCCUAGAGGAAGUCUGGAGAGACGGGCGGACGAUGCAUCUCUGCUCGCCGCCACCAUGGAACUGGACCUAAAGCGCUCUCCUGCAAAGAGCAGCGUGAGUGGGCGGGACAAAGGCAUGCGGGGUCAGAAAGGUUACUGGUCAGAAAGACUGCCAUUGGUCCGCUCUGACCUCCUGUGACUGAUUCACUGCGGCUGAAUAUUAGGACCUGGAUGCUGUCAGGUCGAGACUCUCGGCCUGCCGCUCUGUGCAGCCGCCUGGACUCGGACAUCAUGGAAGACCCCUUCG